rnacentral:rRNA from 1 species
GACGAACGCUGGCGGCGUGCUUAACACAUGCAAGUCGAACGGAAAGGCCCUGCUUUUGUGGGGUGCUCGAGUGGCGAACAGGUGAGUAACACGUGAGUAACCUGCCCUUGACUUUGGGAUAACUUCAGGAAACUGGGGCUAAUACCGGAUAGGAGCUCCUGCUGCAUGGUGGGGGUUGGAAAGUUUCGGCGGUUGGGGAUGGACUCGCGGCUUAUCAGCUUGUUGGUGGGGUAGUGGCUUACCAAGGCUUUGACGGGUAGCCGGCCUGAGAGGGUGACCGGCCACCUUGGGACUGAGAUACGGACCAGUCUCCUACGGGAGGCAGCAGUGGGGAAUAUUGCACAAUGGGCGGACGCCUGAUGCAGCAACGCCGCGUGCGGGAUGACGGCCUUCGGGUUGUAAACCGCUUUCGCCUGUGACGAAGCGUGAGUGACGGUAAUGGGUAAAGAAGCACCGGCUAACUACGUG